UACAGAGGUCUCACGCGUUGUUCGGAUUCAUUGGGCGUAAAGGGUGCGUAGGCGGCGCGGUAAGUCGGGUGUGAAAUCUCGGGGCUUAACUCCGAAACUGCAUUCGAUACUGCCGUGCUUGAGGACUGGAGAGGAGACUGGAAUUUACGGUGUAGCGGUGAAAUGCGUAGAUAUCGUAAGGAAGACCAGUGGCGAAGGCGGGUCUCUGGACAGUUCCUGACGCUGAGGCACGAAGGCCAGGGGAGCAAACGGG
rnacentral:rRNA from 1 species